GAUGAACGCUGGCGGCGUGCCUAAUACAUGCAAGUCGAACGCUGAAGGAAGGAGCUUGCUCUUUCCGGAUGAGUUGCGAACGGGUGAGUAACGCGUAGGUAACCUGCCUGGUAGCGGGGGAUAACUAUUGGAAACGAUAGCUAAUACCGCAUAACAGUAGAUGUUGCAUGAUAUCUACUUAAAAGGUGCAAUUGCACCACUACCAGAUGGACCUGCGUUGUAUUAGCUAGUUGGUGAGGUAACGGCUCACCAAGGCGACGAUACAUAGCCGACCUGAGAGGGUGAUCGGCCACACUGGGACUGAGACACGGCCCAGAUUCCUACGGGAGGCAGCAGUAGGGAAUCUUCGGCAAUGGACGGAAGUCUGACCGAGCAACGCCGCGUGAGUGAAGAAGGUUUUCGGAUCGUAAAGCUCUGUUGUAAGAGAAGAACGAGUGUGAGAGUGGAAAGUUCACACUGUGACGGUAUCUUACCAGAAAGGGACGGCUAACUACGUG
rnacentral:rRNA from 1 species